rnacentral:rRNA from 1 species
GUGGGGAAUAUUGGACAAUGGGCGAAAGCCUGAUCCAGCCAUGCCGCGUGUGUGAAGAAGGUCUUCGGAUUGUAAAGCACUUUAAGUUGGGAGGAAGGGCAGUAAGUUAAUACCUUGCUGUUUUGACGUUACCGACAGAAUAAGCACCGGCUAACUCUGUGCCAGCAGCCGCGGUAAUACAGAGGGUGCAAGCGUUAAUCGGAAUUACUGGGCGUAAAGCGCGCGUAGGUGGUUCGUUAAGUUGGAGGUGAAAUCCCCGGGCUCAACCUGGGAACUGCCUCCAAAACUGCAUGACUAGAGUACGGUAGAGGGUAGUGGAAUUUCCUUUGUAGCGGUGAAAUGCGUAGAUAUUGGAAGGAACACCAGUGGCGAAGGCGACUACCUGGACUGAUACUGACACUGAGGUGCGAAAGCGUGGGGAGCAAACAGGAUUAGAAACCCGAGUAGUCC